rnacentral:rRNA from 3 species
CAUGCAAGUCGAGCGAACGGACGAGAAGCUUGCUUCUCUGAUGUUAGCGGCGGACGGGUGAGUAACACGUGGAUAACCUACCUAUAAGACUGGGAUAACUUCGGGAAACCGGAGCUAAUACCGGAUAAUAUUUUGAACCGCAUGGUUCAAAAGUGAAAGACGGUCUUGCUGUCACUUAUAGAUGGAUCCGCGCUGCAUUAGCUAGUUGGUAAGGUAACGGCUUACCAAGGCAACGAUGCAUAGCCGACCUGAGAGGGUGAUCGGCCACACUGGAACUGAGACACGGUCCAGACUCCUACGGGAGGCAGCAGUAGGGAAUCUUCCGCAAUGGGCGAAAGCCUGACGGAGCAACGCCGCGUGAGUGAUGAAGGUCUUCGGAUCGUAAAACUCUGUUAUUAGGGAAGAACAUAUGUGUAAGUAACUGUGCACAUCUUGACGGUACCUAAUCAGAAAGCCACGGCUAA